GUGCUUGCUUCGGGCGGCAGAUCAACUAAAGUUGAAAUAAUACAGAGAAGAUUAGCAUGGCCCCUGUACAAGGAUGAUGCGCAAAUUUGUGAAGUGUUCCAUAUUUUC
rnacentral:snRNA from 1 species